AGAGUUUGAUCCUGGCUCAAGACGAACGCUGGCGGCGUGCUUAACACAUGCAAGUCGAACGAAGCUUGAUUACAGAUUCUUCGGAUGAAGUAUGAUAUGACUGAGUGGCGGACGGGUGAGUAACGCGUGAGUAACCUGCCCUUCAGAGGGGGAUAGCGUUUGGAAACGAACGGUAAUACCGCAUAACGUAUUUUGACCGCAUGAUCGAAAUACCAAAGAUUUAUCGCUGAAGAGAUGGACUCGCGUCUGAUUAGGUAGUUGGUGGGGUAACGGCCUACCAAGCCGACGAUCAGUAGCCGGACUGAGAGGUUGAUCGGCCACAUUGGGACUGAGACACGGCCCAGACUCCUACGGGAGGCAGCAGUGGGGAAUAUUGCACAAUGGGCGCAAGCCUGAUGCAGCAACGCCGCGUGAAGGAAGACGGUUUUCGGUAUUGUAAACUUCUGUUCUUAGUGAAGAAUAAUGACGGUAGCUAAGGAGCAAGCCACGGCUAACUACGUGCCAGCAGCCGCGGUAAUACGUAGGUGGCAAGCGUUGUCCGGAAUUACUGGGUGUAAAGGGAGCGCAGGCGGGUGAUCAAGUCAGCUGUGAAAACUACGGGCUUAACCCGUAGACUGCAGUUGAAACUGUUCAUCUUGAGUGAAGUAGAGGUUGGCGGAAUUCCGAGUGUAGCGGUGAAAUGCGUAGAUAUUCGGAGGAACACCGGUGGCGAAGGCGGCCAACUGGGCUUUAACUGACGCUGAGGCUCGAAAGUGUGGGGAGCAAACAGGAUCGUGAUACCCUGGUAGUCCACACUGUAAACGAUGAAUUGCUAGGUGUGGGGGGUGUGACCCCCUCCGUGCCGGAGCUAACGCAAUAAGCAAUCCACCUGGGGAGUACGACCGCAAGGUUGAAACUCAAAGGAAUUGACGGGGACCCGCACAAGCAGUGGAUUAUGUGGUUUAAUUCGAAGCAACGCGAAGAACCUUACCAGCACUUGACAUCCAACUAACGAAAUAGAGAUAUAUUAGGUGCCCUUCGGGGAAAGUUGAGACAGGUGGUGCAUGGUUGUCGUCAGCUCGUGUCGUGAGAUGUUGGGUUAAGUCCCGCAACGAGCGCAACCCUCGCCAUUAGUUGCUACGCAAGAGCACUCUAAUGGGACCGCUACCGACAAGGUGGAGGAAGGUGGGGAGGACGUCAAAUCAUCAUGCCCCUUAUGUGCUGGGCUACACACGUAAUACAAUGGCCAUCAACAGAGAGAAGCAAUACCGCGAGGUGGAGCAAAACUUCAAAAAUGGUCUCAGUUCGGACUGCAGGCUGCAACCCGCCUGCACGAAGUUGGAAUUGCUAGUAAUCGUGGAUCAGCAUGCCACGGUGAAUAAGUUCCCGGGUCUUGCAC
rnacentral:rRNA from 1 species